CUAGGUUGUCCGGGCGACGGUCGUCCGGUUCAAGCAUGUAGGCAGAGUGAUUAGGCAAAUCCGGUCACUUAAUGCUGAGGUGUGAUGACGAACCACUAAAGGUGGUGAAGCAAUUGAUGCCCUGCUUCCAGGAAAAGCCUCUAAGCUUCAGGUUACCAACAAUCGUACCCCAAACCGACACAGGUGGUCAGGUAGAGAAUACUCAGGCGCUUGAGAGAACUCGGGUGAAGGAACUAGGCAAAAUGGUGCCGUAACUUCGGGAGAAGGCACGCUGGCGGUAAGUGAAGUCCCUUGCGGACGGAGCCGAAGCCAGUCGAAGAUACCAGCUGGCUGCAACUGUUUAUUAAAAACACAGCACUGUGCAAACACGAAAGUGGACGUAUACGGUGUGA
rnacentral:rRNA from 1 species